rnacentral:lncRNA from 10 species
UAGUUUGAACUUUUAUUUAUGUUUAAUUUUUUAAUUUUUACAAGAUGCCGAUAGUAGCUGGCUUAUUAAUGUACAUUAUUCUUUGAUAUUUCAGGAAGCCACAGUGUUCAACUGUGAACUACAGAGUCCUGUAAGUUUAAAAUAACUUUGUUUCUCAACUAUGUGAUAUCCAGGAUUUUUUACAAUUACUUUGAGAUUUUUCCUCAUCAGUAAUGCAAAGAAAAUUGCAAUAUGAUUAUACAAUUUAUUUUUAUUUUUUUAGACAGGUUAUCACUCUGUCGCCCAGGCCGGAGUGCAGGGGUGUGAUUGUAGCUCAUUGCAGCCUCAAACUCCUGGGCUCAGACGAUCCUCCUUCAGCUUCCUAAGUAGCUGAGAUUACAGGCACGUGCCACCAUGCCUGGCUAAUUUAUUUUUUGUAGAGAGAGGGGUCUCACUUUGUUGCCCAGGCUGGUCUCCAACUCCUGGGCUCAAGUGAUACCCAGCCUGGGCCUCCCAAAGUGCUGGGAUUACGGGUAUGAGCCACUGUGCCCAGCCUGAUAUACAAUUUCUUCCUCAGACAGUCUGGCUCUGUCGCCCAGGCUGGAGUGCAGUGGCACAAUCUUGGCUCACUGCAACCUCUGCCUCCCGGGUUCAAGCAAUUCUCCUGCCUCAGCCUCCCGAGUAGCUGGAAUUACAGGCAUGCACCACCAUGCCUGACCAAUUUUUGUAUUUUUAGUAGAGACCUGGGGUUUCAUCAUGUUGGCCAGGCUGUUCUUGAACUCCUGACCUCAAGCAAUCCGCCCACCUCAGCCUCCCAAAGUGCUUGGAUUUCAGGAGUGAGCUUUUGCACCUGGCCUGAUAUACAAUUUCUGAUGCUAUAGAAGCAAUGUAUAACUCCUAAUUUACUAGUGACUGCUAUGCGCUUCAUUAACAUUAUGGACAUGUCGAUCCCAAAAAUCAUAUAGAAAUGUUACUUUUUUUUUGAGACAGGGUUUCACUCUGUCGCCCAGGCUGGACUGCAAUGGCGUAAACAUGGCUCACUGUAGCCUCAACCUCUCGGGCUCAAGCAAUCCUCCUGCCUCAGCCUCCCAAAUAGUUGAGACUACAGGCAUGUGUCACCACACCCCUUAAUUUUUGUAUUUUCUUUUCUCAUUAUGUUGUCCAGGAUGGUCUCAAACUCCUGGGCUCAAGGCAUCCUCCUGCCUUGGUCUCCUAAAGUGUUAGAAUUACAGGCAUGAGCCACUGUGCCCAGCCAGAAAUGUUAAACUCACUUUAUGGUUUCAGAACAAGGAUCAAAUAAAAUAAAAAUAUAAAAAAUAAAAUAUGGUUGGCCAAGUGUGGUGGCUCAGCCCUCUAAUCCCAGCCCUUUGGAAGGCCAAGGCAGAAGGCUCGCUUGAGCUCAGGAGUUCAAGACUAGCCUUGGCAACAUAGCAAGACCUCAUUUCUGCUAAAAAUAAAAAACAUUAGCCAGACAUGGUGGUCCACACUUGCAGUCCCAGUUAUUCAAGAGGCUGAGGUGGGAGGAUCACUUGAGCUUGGGAGAUCGAGGCUGCAGUGAGCUAUCAUCGUGCCACUGCACUCCAGUCUGGCGACAGAGCAAGACCUUCUCAAAAAUAAAAUAUGGUCGAAACGGGACAGACAAGGCGGCUACCUGUAACCCUGGCCGCUUUAGGAGCUGGGGCAGGAAAGUUGCUUGAGGCCAGGAAUCCGAGACCAGCCUGAGCAACAGCAGGACCCGUCUAUGAAAAAACAGGAGCAAGUAGUGGCACAUCCCAAUUGUGUCAGCUAACUGGGAGGCUGAGGCAGGAGGAUCGCUUGAGCCCAGGAGUUCAAGGCUGUACUCCAGCCUGGGCGACAAAGCAAGAACCCUGUUCUCUAGGGAAAAAAAAAAAAAAGUCAAAACAUUUCAUAAAACUUUCACACAAUGGAGGUUUAGUUAAGCUGUUACUCUUCUGUUCAAUUUUGUUGCACCUAUCAGAAGGCAUAAUUUCAUAAAAUCAGGAUUCCUUGGCGUUUUAACCACUCUCAAAAUAUUUGAUCCUACUGGAAGUUACUAUGCAAUGCUAUCUUGUCCCUGAAUCAACAUAAUUCAACUAUCAGCUUCAUAUAUAUAUAUAUAUAUAUAUAUUUUUUUUUUUUGAGACAGAGUUUCGCUGUUGUUGCCCAGGCUGGAGUGCAAUGGCGCAAUCUUGGCUCACCACAACCUCCGCCUCCCGGGUUCAAGCGAUUCUCCUGCCUCAGCCUCCUGAGUAGCUGGGAUUACAGGCACGCACCACCACCGCAGCUAAUUUUGUAUUUUUAGUAGAGACAGGGUUUCUCCAUGUUGGUCAGGCUGGUCUUGAACUCCCGACCUCAGGUGAUCCACCCGCCUCGGCCUCCCAGAAUGCUGGGUUUACAGGCAUGACCCACUGUGCCUGGCAGUUUCGUGUAUUCUUACUCCACUGGGUUCUGCUUUAUCGUAUUGACAGUAGACAUUUCAUUAAAUGAAAUGUAAAAAGAACACCAAUACAUACAUAUUAAAAUUUUCUUACUAGAAUCUUUUAGUAUAAUUUAAAAACCUGAAAUGAGAAUUCGCAUCACUUUAAGUGGGCCUCUUGGGAAAUAAAACUUGAAUCCUGAUUGGCAGAACUGCCUCAGUAAGGGCUGGCUGAACUGCAUACCCAAAAUGUUUUAGAUCUACGGUCCACUUUCACGUUGGCUGGACUAAUGCGUUUCUACUGCUCCUCUUACACGUUGACUGACUUUCCUCUCAGGAAGAGGUAGAGACUAUGUUCCUUUUUUCCUCAAUCUGGGACUUGGUUUCUGAGACAUCACUGUUGUAACCAAGAGCAUGGUAAAAGUGAUGUUAUGUGACAUUGAAGGAUAAGUCCUAAAAAGCCAACUCUGCCAAGCUCUCCUGGAGCCCCAAAAUACCACCUAAGUCCAGCUGCCCUGAAGCCACCAUGCUAGAGAUUUUCGGGAAAGACUAUACCACUAAUAGUGAAAAGCACAAAGAGCAUCCUUUCAGCUCAGAAGUGAAAAGCUUCAUGAGACUCAGAACCAGAAGAGUCUGAUACUCCCGAGUUCUUCACCCACAGAAAAGCUUAUCAUACACCAUUGAUCUUUGGAUGCUUUGCUAACAUAGCAAGAAAUAAUAUACAGUUGAUACUGCUAAGCACCACAGCCACCACUUGGUUGGGUUCAGAAGACAUCCUACUUUACCUUUUUAAAGUUUGGUCCAAAUUUGUACCUACAACUUUUCCUUUUUUCCUGCAGCACAGGUAAAAUGUUGGAACCUUUAACAAGUUCAGGCAAUGAUGAUAUAAAGAAGUUAACAUGCAACUAGCUGCACUGGCUUCUAAAUUGAGUUCACUGACCUUACCAUGAGUUUGUAGUAACAUUUCUCUCCAAUCUCUGAAAAAGUUUUUCUCUCCAGGCCAUCUGUACGCUUUACGUAGGGACUGUUAACCAACCCACGUAUUACACAUAAGGACUCUAGGUAAAAUCUAGUGUUUGAAAAACAGCAUGUUAUAUAUUACACUAGGUUUUUCGUUUUUUUUCCAGUGGUGGGCUGUCAUUACAAAAGAUUGAACUUUUAUACACUUCCUAAUCAAACUUAAGGGGAAUCUAAACACAAAAACUAAUUCACUUUCUAGGAGCUCUUUAAAAAUGGGCUUAAACCUACAAUCCAAUCUCGUAUCUAAGUAUGAUGGAAUGCUUUUUCCCCAGUGGCAUUCAUAUAGUUCAGCUGUCAAGCAGUACCUUUCUUAAAAUACCAGACUGAAAAUAGUUCAAUUUUCUGUAAAAAGUCAGAGCCGGGCACGGUGGCUCAUGCCUAUAAUCCCAGCAGUUUGGGAGGCUGAGGCGGGCGGAUCACCUGAGGUUGGAAGUUCGAGACCAGCCUGACCAACACAGGGAAACCCCGUCUCUACUAAAAAUACAAAAUUAGCUGGGCGUGGUGGCACAUGCCUGAAAUCCCAGCUACUUGGGAGGCUGAGGCAGAACAAUCGCUUGAACCUGGGAGGCAGAGGUUGCCGUGAGGCGAGAUCGCGACACUACACUCGUCUGGGCAACAAGAGUGAAACUCCGUCUCAAAAAAAAAAAAAGUCAGAUCUGUGUAAAGAGAAUUAGUGUACCUGAAAAUUGUUUUCAGCUGUCAAUCACUUUGGUCCUUUACUGUCAUUCUAAGAAUCAGCCUAAUUUGGUU